ACGCGCAGUAGACAUUCCAUGACUUCCGGGCACUGCGUAAGGUUUAAAUAAGGAUGCUUUGCAGUAGCUCGGCCUCUUGCAGACAGAGUCGCAACCGUGGGUUCUUCGGCUCGGAUUCGUUAAGUAUUCCAAGUAACACUUGGAAAGAAGAGGAUCUGCACUUCACAUUGGGCAUUGACAUUUAAAUUUUUGGGUCCUUUAUAUAGAAGGGAGAGAAGGUAAACUUUUUUUUUUUUAACAGGGAGGGUUUUGCAGUCUUGGGCAGACUGGGAGAAGUGUUGCUUGACCUUAUACAACCGAUUUUGGCAGGUGUGUUAAAGUCCUUGAGUAUUUUGCUUUUGUAUAAUUUCUAAUGUAUUUGUAAUUUGCCUAAGAAAUCACCUGUGUUAAUGUAUUUAUGAAAUAAAAGAUGACUGUACA